AAAAAUUGUUCCCCUACCCCUUUCUUCACCCCCCAGGGUCUGUCAGCAACCAAAGCAACAUGGAAAUAAUAAUUGAUUGAUAUGAACUCAGUUUUCAGGUAAGACACAGAUUGCUAAAAAUGCAUAAUUGCAAGAAAACUCCUUGCCUCAAAUCUUCCAUCUGACAGUUUCUGGUGGACAUCCCAUCCGUCCUUAGUGGAGGGUCUCCCAGCAGCAGGAAGAGGUGAUCCAGUUUUGAAGCUACACAGGGCUGGAUUCAAAUACAAUAAGGUUUUCUCUCCCAUCAAGUUCAGGUAUCUACAGGUCGUGACUGUGAGACAAUUCUGUUUCCUUUUGUCAUGACAUAGGAUGGGUAGAAGAUAGCCACAACCCCCUAAUCUCUGAGACACGCUCAUUGUCCAGCAGCCGUUAAGGAGAGCCCUUCUAGAUCUCAUGGCAGCUACCUUGAAACCAAGCACAUCAGCCUCCCGUUUUUGUUCCAUUAUCUCUGGUGCAUCAUUCUCCUUGACAGAGAAACAGGAAGUUGACUUUUUUUAAAAAAGAAGAAGUGAGAUACCAUGAAAGCACAGUGAGGAUAAAGCAGGAUCUGGCUGCAUCUACAGUGAAGGACCGAAAGGGGAAAGUAUGGUCAUUCAACAAAAUAGAAGAAUUCCAAGAAUUUGUAAAGAAAAGACCAGACUUGAACAGAAGAUCUGAUGCCCAAGCACAGAACUCAAGAGAAUCGUCAAAAGGUAAUUAAAAAAGAGGGAAAAAAGAAAAACAAAACAAAACAAAAACACUUUUUUUAAGAGACCCAAUAAGUUAAAAUGAUAUGUAUCCCCAUAAGAAAAGAGGUCAUUGGUAACUCUUAAAAAUAUUAUUAUUGACUUCUGGUCAAGAUGGCGGCUUAGAGAAAGCUAAAGUCCAGAUCUCCGGAAACCCUUCCCUACCGAACUCAAACUAUAUGCUCCUAAGGCACCAAAAUUCAAAACAAACAACAGCAUAGACCCCCAGGAAUCCUCCUCCUGGACCUGGACCUGGAUCAAAAGGUACAGCCCCCCCAAAAGCCAGAACCCGAGAUCACUCGGACCUAAGGGGUAGGCAGAAGGAAGGUCCCAGGACCCAUCCCCCCAACCCAGAGCUCUGAGUCCGAGGCAGCAGAGGGAACCUCAGAGCCUCAGGGCUGGCUAUCCUGAAGGCCACUUCCUGAAAACAACCUGACCCAGUCGAGGGGGCACCCAGACAGCAGGGAAACAGAGAGAGACUGGGUGGGGGGGAAGAGCCUAUAGCCCCCUGACCAGAUCCUUCCAUCUGAGUCUCACCAAAGGUCCCUGCCUCAGGGCAUACUCGGUCCAAGGUUAAUUCUAUCAGGAGCCCUCAGAGCUCCAGGAAGCCACGGCCCCUCCCCCCUCAGAGAGCAGGGUCCUCUGAAACAACAGUAACUCUCAAGGCUGGCAAAAGGGCCUUGGGAGCCGGCUAUUCUGAAGGCU
rnacentral:lncRNA from 1 species